UGGCUUGGGGCGUGGUCAUAUUUUCCUGCUGUUUUGUCUCUAGCUGAUCACAUGCCUGUUUCCUUUUUUUUUUUUUUACUUAUUGAAAGGUUAGAUUUUUGUGAUUAUUUUAUUUUUUAAAGUAUAAACAAUACAUAUUUUAAUUUUUUUACAGGCGGCUUUGAUCUUAUUUAUUAAGGGUGCCAAUAAUUCUGACCACAACUGUAAGAAUGAGAACUGAUAUAUGAGAUCUCAUGACAUAUCAGUAUGUGAGAUCCCACAUGCUUACUUGCACUCUAUCCAGUGAUAAACACAGCAUGUGGCCCUUGACCCAUUUUAUUUGACACAGAAUUCUGGCAUGAUCGUGUCAUUAUUAAUCAAUCGACACAAUACCACCCUGAAAUUACUUUGCACUGUUGAAAUAUGGUCUUGGCAAGAAAUUUGGAUAAAUAUUUUUUUUACGAGUGCUACUAUUUCACAUUCAAUAUUCUAGGCUAAAUUAGAGGGAUAUAAGUCACUUUUAUGGAUGUUUCUUUACAAACUUCAUAGUUUUUUCUUUUCUUUUUUAGAAGGAUAUGACCAUGGUGAUGAUGAGUUUUACCUGUCCAUGAUCUUAUCCACAAAUACCACAGUUAAAUUCUAAUGAAGUAUGUAAAAAUGUUCAGCUCUAAUAAACACGCAUUUCAGGAAAAAAUUAUUCAAUAAUAUGACAAAAUUAAUAUUACAGAAUAUUCUGGAAAAAAUUUAAUAUAUCCCUGCAUAACUCUGGUAUAACUGAGCCUUUGAAGUUCUUAAUUUGUGAUUUGUAGAAUAGGAUUUAUAUAGAAUUUGAGAAGGUGUAACUGUUUUGUUGUGUUUGUGAGAGAGAAACAAAAUACAAGAUUGCAACUCCUAAAACAUUUUCUUGAUGACUUAUAAAAUAAGUGAAAUAUUCUUUGCAAAUUCUACUGUCACAGGUGCUCAGUUUUGCUACAAUAAUACUAGAUAUAGAAGUACUGUAUGCAAAUAUAACAAAGGGACAUAAACAACUGAAUAUUCAGGGAUGCAAACUUAUCACCUUUAAGUGAAAAUUGUCAUUUUGAAUCUAAAAUAGAUAAUUUGCGUGAUUCUCAAAGAGAUUUUGACUAGUAAGUAGUGAAAGUAGUAUUGACUCAAUUUAGGUACCAGCUGAAAUUAACUGCUUUCAAACGCUCCUGUGCGUGUAUUUGUGGUUUGAAAUUGGUAAAAUGUGCUUGAAAAAAAAAAAAAAAAAAAAAUGCUGGCCCGCUGUGAGAAACCAGACGUCUCAAUUCAUCAGUUUUUGCUGGUGAGUAGAUUAAGUGCUUCUGCUGUACUUUUAUGUGCAUGUUAUGCUACCUGUGUUUUAUUUGUUAGUUUAAUUUACCAUGCGAUUACAUAUCACUCUGUUUAGAUGAGAUAGUAAGUAUCAAUAUAACGAAUUUAGACCGACUGGAAAUAACAUACAGCUCUUCAUUAAAAGAGCGGGUUCAUAAGAGUUAUUUGUUAAUAAAUUGGACACUGAAAUUGUCCAAAAAGGCAUGGCUCAAUAUUGUCAUGUUCGUAAACUGACCUACAUUGGUGGAUCAGUACAUAGUAUAGCCAGUUUUCAUGAUUUAAUUGAUUAAUACGAUUCAUACUGAGUUGGGUGUAAUACACUAUCAUGUGUUUUCUGUGUGAGUUAAACAAGUAAAGAGUGCUUCUGCAGAAAUCUACAUUUGUUCCAUAUUUAAAACAAAAAUCUGAGCUACUAAGUUCAAUCAGCUGACCCUAUUGUUGACGUGUUUUUACAGAGUCAGGCCUGGAUGAAAACCUGCUUAAAGAGAGAGAUAGAUUAACUGGGAAGAUAAAGCCUGGUGCUGAUGUACCCGGUAAGCUAAAUGAAGAAUUGUAAAACCGAAAAAGCUCAGAUGACGCUGAAAAGACUGUCAGCUCAGCCUCAGCCCCUGUAAAUGAAUCGGUUCAAGAAAUGCAAAGAAGAAUAGAAGGGCUACAGGAAGAAAACAGCGGCUCAGAGAGGAACUUGAAAACUAGAUUCCUGGAUUCUCAAUGAGCUGAGAAGGCUAAGGACAGAGGCA